rnacentral:rRNA from 1 species
GACGUAGGGCGCGAGCGUUGUCCGGAUUUACUGGGCGUAAAGCGUGCGCAGGCGGUUAUGCAAGACAGAUGUGAAAUCCUCGGGCUUAACCUGGGAACUGCAUUUGUGACUGCAUAGCUGGAGUGCGGCAGAGGGGGAUGGAAUUCCGCGUGUAGCAGUGAAAUGCGUAGAUAUGCGGAGGAACACCGAUGGCGAAGGCAAUCCCCUGGGCCUGCACUGACGCUCAUGCACGAAAGCGUGGGGAGCAAACAGG